AAACUGAUGUUACAAUAUAAUUUCAAUCUGAAACACCUAGGAAAACAUAAUAUUGAAAGAUAACAAGUCUGCUAUCAACCCGCUAACAUUAACUAUGAACUAAAAAUUUAAACAGCAUGUACCCUAGUUCGUUAUCAUCGACUAAUACAAACAUCACCUCAAGACAAGUAAGAAACAUUAUUCAUCUUUUAAAAACAUUAUAAAAAAGAACACAAAUCGCAAAUUCCACGAGCUGCUUCUACCUGGAAUGAUUCAAAUAACGCCUCCCGCGCUUCUUCAGUCAGCUUCAUAGACCAAAACAUUCUGAUUCAAUCCCACUCUAAAACGCCAUUCGACCAGCAAGCCUUCCUUCUGAAAUCCUCCUAUCGAUGGCUGCAUCAAUCGAGCUCAUCUGAAACAUCGCGGGCCCACGACACAUGUAAUUAGAAACCUCUGAACCAAAACUUAGAAAGCAAACAUCAUCAUUGAUAAUAUAUUUCAAACCUAGAGCUUUGCAUCUAUGCAAAGAAUCCGAACUUUCUAGAAGAAGCUGACCUGGGCCAAAUUGGUAUCGAUUGGUGGUUCAUAAAAUUAGUUUGUAAUCUGUUAAGUGAGUUGUUGUUCCACCCAUAUCCAACACUUGACAAUAAAGCAUUGGGAGAACAUGUAGAAUUAAACAUAUAAACAGUUCUAGAAAGCAAAUACAUACACUUGGGUUGGAGAGUCCUCAAGUUGAUCCCAGCAACCUCAGCAGAAUUAUAAUUAAUUAUAUGUAUAUUGGGUUAAUAUCAUAAAAUACCAGUAUAGUUUCUUAUUUUUCACCAAAAAGUUCUCUCAACUUGUAAAAAAAAUACACAAAAAAGUCAUUAAACUAAUUUUAGUAGACGAAAGUCCUUAAACUUGUCUAAUAUGCAAGUACAUGUGAACCCUUUUUUUAUAUAUGAAUUGUUAACUAGGCCUGUAAAUGAACCGAACGAACAGAAACAUGGGCAUGGUCGUGUUUGUUCACUUAACUAUAACUGAACACAAACACGAACAUAUAAUCGAACACAUUUUUUUGUUCACGUUUGUUCAUUAAGAAAAUGGGCACGUUCGUGUUCGUUCAUUUGAAACCUAAACGAACACAAACAAACUUAAACAUACAUAGUUGAACAAACAUAAACUAACACAAAUGAAUAUAAUUGCACAAACAUAAACGAACAUAAAUUAACAUCAAUGAACACAAACAAACAAGUCUAAAACAUCACAAUUCAUCCAAAAACAUAUCCUAAUUUGAUGUUUAAAUGUACAUGAUUCAAUUACAUAGUUUUUUGUAUAAAUUGGUUAUCAAUUACGACACGUUUCAUCGGAAAGCCCAAUUACAAAUUAGUUAUAUUUAUAUAAUUAGUUAGGAAACCCUUUUUACAUUUAUAUUUAUGUAAAUAUAACUACUCAUGCAUUAUGUAAACAUAACCACUUUUGUAUUUAUUUAAAAUUUAAUUUAAACGAACAAACAUAAAUGAACGAACGAAACGUGUGUUCAUGUUCGUUCGUUUAAUUAAAUGAACAAAAAAUUUGUUCACGAUCGUUCAUUUAUUUAAAUAAACCAACAUAAACGAACUUUCCACCAAACAGUUCAUGAACAUUCAGUUCAUUUACAGGCCUGUUGUUAACUAUUAAAUUGAUCAUAGUUAGAUAAAAGUAGCAUUCAACAUUUUUACAAAAAAACAAUUAUAUAACUUUAACCAACAUAAGUUAACAAAAUUACUAUAUAAAAAGGUUCAGAAGUGCUAGCAUUUUAAACAGGUUUAGGAACUGAAUAUACAAAACUAGUUUACCGACUUUUUGGUGUACUUUUUACAAGUCAGCCGUAAUCAACCAACACUAGGUUGACGGACUUUUUCAUAAAAAAUAAGAAAGUAUAUGUACUGUUUUUAUAGUAUUCACCCUUAUAUUUACUAACUAGAAACAAUAAUAACACAGAUACCUACUUGAACUUUGAUGCUCAGAUAAUUGGUGGAUGGCUUGCCAACCGGAGAAUGGCCAAAAAGAAGUUGAAGACUUCUUGUGACAAACAUGACACUUAAAAUGCUUAGCUUUUUGGUGCUGAACCAAGAUCUUCUCAUCAUCGAACUCUCUGUCGCAAUAAUAACACCAUACAUCUGACGAUACUCUCUUCUUCUUCUUCCCCAUCGCACCACACACACACACGCACAACGAUUUAGGAGUUCGAUCAGCAGAUUGUUACGUGUUGAUCUGUGUAGUCGAUUUGAUUGCGAAAAGGUGAAAACUGUUUCUAGGGUUUCUGCUGCAGCUGUUUGU
rnacentral:lncRNA from 1 species